GGGGAUAUAGCUCAGUUAGUAGAGUGUUUGCCUCAAUGUAUCAGGUCCUGGGUUCAAUCCCCAGCACCACA
rnacentral:tRNA from 1 species